UUUUUCAGUCAUUUUCCAUUUUAGGACGUCCUCAGAUGUCUGCAAACUAAGGUUUGCAAAAUUACACAACUUUUUGGGCUAAACAAGAAUGUUAAAAUAAAAUAUUACAAAGGCGUGAACAAUCAAACCCUGGCAAAUGGAGAUGAAUGACAAAAAAUUGCCCGUUUUACCUGAAUUCUUCCUCAAUGCAGAGCUUAAGCACGUCAACCACAUACAAACACAUCUGAGUUUAAGCGAGCUGUAUGCUUUGUGUUUUCAUAGUGUAACUAACACACUGCCCCUGUCACUCUUUAUUACAGAGAAAGAGAGAGCUAUACGGAGGGAGAGAGAAGGAGCUAUUCUUCUAAACGGAGGAAAGCACGUCUGACAGAUUGAAAUACAGCAGCAAGACUGUAACGCUGAACUUUAAACAGAGUAAAAAGUAAAGUCACGCAGGUUUGGAAUGACAUGAGGGUGAGUAAAUGAUGACAGCAUUUUAAUUUUAAUCCAUUCUGGAUCUCUACGAUUGCCCAUCUCUCAUUCGCUUCCUUUCUUUCUCUCUUUGGCUUGUGUGAGGCGUGUGACAAGGUUGUGAAGUGCGUUUAUCUGGACUGAGAGAGAGGAAAUCUCUGUCUGAUGGCUGAGUGGCAGACGAGAGAAGCCAUUAAGAUAGAGUCCUUAUCUUCCCUCCUCAGCAGAAGACUGGCUUUACACAUACACACACACACACACACACACUCUGUUGUACUCUGCUGCUGUCAGUCAUCUUGCAAUGGCUGUCUAUAUUGCCUGUUUGUAGUCAUGAAUGGCCCACCAACCAGAUGCACAGAUUUGUGUUACAAAAAUAGCACCACCAACAACAACAAAUGUAUGGUUUUAAACCAACAUGAAAAUGAAAAGAGUAGAGUAGAAAGAAAUAUGAAAUUGCACAUUGCAUCCGUUUUACUCUGUCAAAUUUUUUUUAUGCUCAUGAAGGCUGCAUUUAUUUAAUAAAAACAGCAAUAUUGUGAAAUAUUAUUUCAAAUUAAGUAUUAAAUAUAUUUUAAUAUGUAAUGUACUCCUACGGCAAACCUGAAUUUUGGGCAGCUGUGACUCCAGUCUUCAGUGUCACAUGAUCAGAAAUCAUUCUAAUAGGCUGAUUUGGUACCCAAGAAACAUUUCUUAUAUCAAUGUUGAAAGCAGUUGUGCUCCGUAAAAUUUUUGUGGAAACCGUGACACAAUAGAAAAGUUUAAAAGAACAGAAUUUAUUAGAAAAAGAAACGUUUUGUAAUACUAUACAUGUCUUUACUGCCACUUUUUGAUCUGUUCACA